AGCCCACCGAACAGGGCCACCACGUUCCAAGAUCUUGGGAUAUUUACUAUCGCUCACUGAUGGCGAGUCGCGUGAGCUGUUUACUGGCGGACGAUGCGGGCCGCCGCGGCGUACGGCGUUCUCGACACGAGUGACAUCUGCCGUCUCAUCUGAAAUCAAAGAACAAGAAUGGCUUCGAUCCCGAAUGACGUUGAGUGCUAAUCUCGCGCGCUCUGCCAAACUACGUUGUUGCGUCAUGUCUAGAAAUAAAUUACUCAAGAAAUGUACUGUCGAAUGAUCUUUUACGUAUUUAGUGAAUUUGUAAUACGUACAAAUAGAUGUCAAGAAG